rnacentral:lncRNA from 1 species
AUGGAAACCCGGGGGGAGGGGAGGGGGAGGAGGAAGGGGAGGAGGGAGAGGAGGGAGAGGAGGGGGAGGAGGGGAGAGGAGGGGGAGGAGGGAGGGGAGGAGGGAGAGGAGGGGGAGGAGGGAGGGGAGGAGGGAGAGGAGGGGGAGGAGGGAGGGGGAGGAGGGAGAGGAGGGGGAGGAGGAGGGGGAGGGGGAGGAGGAGGGAAGAGGAGGGGGAGGAGGGAGGGGGAGGAGGGGGGCUUCCCCGCCGAGGCCGCCGCCUCCGCUCGCUCGGCGCUCGCAGCCCAGGCCCAGGAGGGGCCCCGCGACCCGACUCCCGGGCCCGACAGAGGAAGUUUCCCGGGCGACCCACCGGCGGGAAAAGUUGCUGGGAAACUCCGGUUGGGGUGUCCCGGAGGCGGCCCCGAGCGCCGCGCUCCCUCGGCUCCCCGGGACCCUGGGCCUGCCCCCGCCCGGCCGCCCCAACUUGGGCUAAGUCGCAGGAGGGAGGGGCUCCCGAGGACCCGCGGCGAGCCGCCCGCGCCCCCUCCGCCCGGCCCGCGCCCCGCGCCCCGCGCCCCGCGCCCCCGCCUCACCCCGCCGAGCACCUGCCGCGGCCCGCGGCGUCUCCAUGGGGCCGAGUCCCGGGGGCGAGGCCGGCGGCGCCUUUAUACGGAGCGGGCAGGUGGCGGUCGGCACCGUGACGCGGAAGCCGGCGGGGAGGCGGCCCGCGGCCCGGGAGCAGGGGGCGGAGCGGCCACCGCCCCUUCCUGCUCCGCCCCGGUCACGCCCCGGGCCCCGCCCCGGGAUGCCAGGCCCCGCCCCCGACGCUACGAGGCCCCGCCCCGGGUUGCCCGGCCCCGCCCCCCCCGCCCGGCCCCGCCCCCGCAGCCCGAGCGCGCUCGCCGGCGGGGCCCGAGGUCGGGGGCGGGGCAGGGCCGCGGCGGCCGCUACGUGCGCGGGGCGGGAGCGCACCCCCCGGGGCCCAGCCGGGCGCGCGCGGACUCCCCGGGGUGCGCUCGGCGCCGCGCGACCCCUACGCCCCGGCGGCCCCCGCUCGGCCACGGGCGCCUCGAGUGA